ACUUGUUCUAGCCAAAACUUUAUUAAAAAUACAAAGUCUUCAAGGAAAUGAAUUUGAAAUUGCCUGUUAACUAUUCCAUCUUAUCUUUGUACACAUUCUGAAAUACAGCAAAAUGCUUAAAAGAAGGGAUACUGUACAUGUGUAUUGAGAGUAACAUAGAGAAAUAAAAUCAGAUUGUUUUCCUGUUAAUAAGUGUUUAUUGUAUUUGAUACCAAGCAGUAACAAUACUUACUGGGGAGAAAGUGCAUCAUUUUUGGAAAAGUAUAUUUGUGUGUGUGUGUGUGUGUGUGUGUGUGUGUGUGUGUGUGUGUGUGCAUGCUAGGCAGAGCAUAGGUGUUAGAAACCAGGAGCAGCAUGUAGUUUGCGGUUUCCUUUCUUUUGUCAUUAUUGUUAUUGGUUUGUUUUAUUUUAUGUUUGUUUGUUUGUGGAGACUGGGUCUCUCUGUGUAGCCCUGGGUGUCCUAGCACUCAAUCUGUAGACCAGGCUGGCCUUUAACUCAGAGAUCACCUGCCUCUGCCUCCCAAGUUACAGAGGAUAACUUGUAAGAAUAAAUUCUCUGUUUCUGUCUUUGGGUCCCAGAGAGAUUUCUCAGAGAGAAUUGUCCCAAAUCACAGAAGAAAAGCAUCCUUUUCCAGAUGAUGGGGCCCUGGGAGGUUUUGAAGCAGAAAGUCCAAGCAGCAUGGGAAUGGCUCAUACAAAGGCAUGUAGCUGUAUUGGCCUCAUGGCCAUCUUGUCACGCUGGUAGGAAUUCACACAAGAAGGAUCACAAUAGCUAGAGGAGGACCAGUAAGCAGUCAGUGCUUACUAAGAGAUCUUGCCUCUGAAAUAUCCACUACCACACUGCUAUUAGCAUCUAAAUCUUUGGGAGAACAUUCACCCUAUUAUAUUCAGCUUACCAGUCAGAAGCAUCUUCUUAAUUGCUUUCUGUUUUGUGGGCCAAGUAACCGAAGUAAAAGUCAUUUCAACUUGCUGAAUGCCAACCAGCUUGUGUAUGUAGACACCAAUGAUUGGCCAGAUGGGAAACUGACAGAUGAUUUGGUAUGUUCUUGAGGCAAACUGAGAGAGGCAUGAGGCCAGGCCUUGAACAUGGAUGAAUGGUUGUCCAGGUAACUCCCAGGAGACACUAAUCAGGAAUGUGUUUUCCCUGACCCAGGGUUAUGCACCUUCUGCUCCCCACACCAAAACACUCUAUACCUCUAGAGGCCAACUUGGUAGGCCAUCCGCUAUCCAUUGAACUAAGAGAUUCUUUGCCCAAUGGCACUGCACUCUCUGAAGGUGCACUGCCUGUGAUAAAACUGGUUCCUACAUGGCCCCUGAACACACUGCACAUCUUCUGGACAAUGUGGUCAAGUCCGGAUGUGUCAGGAGCUCUGCACACUCUCAUAAGCAAGGCAGCUCAGGCAGGGUCUCAUGUGCUCUCCUUCCAGUCUUCUUCUGUCUGACAAGAAUUACUGCAGGAGAUUGAGCCAGAGGUCUUCUGCAAUGACCUGAAAGGAGGUGAGGCAAGUGUCUCUCUAGCUUCUGGGGUCAGAGUCCCUCGCCAGCCUAAGGGCCUUUAAGGACACAUGACAGUCCUUUUGGGAAUAAGACGACCAGAGCACACCACUUCAGCCAGCCUGUUAUCUCCUAGGAAAUUGUGGGCAAACAACCAGUCCAGGAAAGUUAGCCUCCAGGGUUCCUGCUGGUAAAUGGGAGCAGCAAGGCCAAGGGCUUGUCAGUUGAGAGUUGAGAGUGCUUGGCUGUGCAGAUUCCACAGUGCUUAACUGAAAACAGUCAGAAGUAUCUGACUUUUCUGAAACACUGCAUUAACUUGCCCCCUAGGUCCACUAAGUAGUGGCCAAAGGGCUCUACUGUCCAAAUCACAAGUUGAGAUAGUAUGGCCUCAGUCAGUUAGUUGUUCAGAUGUGUUACAGUCUGACAGUGUGGAUUUUCUUACUGAUUUAGACACUGACAGCUCUGGGAAGAAACAUGCUGUGUCCUUUGGACCAUCAGAUGCUGUCAGCCUGGGACAACCAGAAGUAGUGAGAUGCAGGAUGUCAGAGGACCUUCAGACACUUUGUACUCUAGAUAGGGAAACAUGUGCGUUCUGUUGAGUAGAGCUCUGUGGGGUCAGGCUAGUUGAGUGCUGAGGGUCUGGACCCUCACUACAGUUCACUGUAAGUAGACCGAAAGUUUGAAAUUAUGUGCUCUGGACAGCUUAAAGCCAUAGUUUGCGGAGACAGAUACUGAAGGGUAUUGUGACAGGCUUACCCUUCCCCCCCCCCCCCCCAUUCCCUCCGCUUUGCUAAAACUCAUUAGGUUACCUUUCCUAAAGCAAGCCAACAAGAUCUACUUCCUCAUACGGCCACUUCCUCCUCCUGAGACUGACUACCAAGGUCCAGAUGUCAACCUACCAAACGAAGUCCAGCAAACAAAAGCCUACUUUGUCUGGCCUAAUUAAUUAAAUUGGGCAUUUGUCAUGCCCAAAUUGGAAUCAAACAUCCUGUAAAAAUGAAAAUUAAUAUAAAUGAAUGCAUUGAAUUAA